CAUAUGAAAGGAAUAGUUUCAUGCAAAUCUGUUUUCCCUGAACAGUUGAUUAUGGUUGCUUACCUGCAUUUUGACACUAUUAGGAACCUCCUUUUCUCCUGCCUUGUGACCUUUUGGAUGUUGUAUCUUCAUGACCCAUCUCAGAGGCUGCAGCACUCCUGCAGGAUCACUUCAUCAGUAUAGUUCAGUUACAGCUGGGAGCUGCUAGACUGUCCCACGUGUCAGCACAGCGGUGGCGGUGAAUACCAGAGAAUCCCUGCAGGAAGAUGAACUUCCAGGCAGCUCAUGCUUCAGUUUUCAAGAAUUCUUUGUUUGAAUGCUGCAGUUUCAUCAAUCUUCUGAUUAUCCGGGGACAGGUUGCAGUGGCAACACUUUCCAGGUCCUCAUGGUGGAUCUCAAGGCGUUCUCAGUUCUGGGUCUACCCCAGGGUCUCCUCCCAGUUGGACAUGCCUGGAAAACCUCCAUAUGAAGGCACCCAGGAGGAAUCCUCAACUGGUUCCUUUAAGAAGGAGCAGCGGCUCAACGCCAAGCUCACUCCGGAUGUCCAAACUCCUCAACCUCUCUAAGGCUGAGCCCAGCCACUCUGAAAACUCAUUUCAGCCACUUGUAGCCGCAAUCUCAUUCUUUUGGUCAUUACCCACAGCUUAGGUGAAGGUUGGGACAUAUAUGGACGGGUAAAUGAGCCAUAGGUGUGAAAAUGCGUGAUCACUAGCAGAGCUGAGUGUGACCAGUUUCUGGCAAGCGCGGAAUAUUCUGAGGAGAAUCAUUAACUGCUAAAGUAAUUUUGUCCAUAGGUGAAGGUUGGGACGUAGAUGACUGGGUAAAUGGAAAGCUUUGCCUUCUGGCUCCAUUUUGCCGUCACUUGUGAACAAGAUCCCAAGAUACUUAAACUCCUUUACUUGGGGCAGCAAGUCACUCCCAACCGGCUGAAGCAAUCUACCAUUUUCCAGCAUGGCCUUUGAGGUGCUGACCCUCACCCUUAGAGAGCGGUUGAAAGUCACGGUCGAUGAAGCCAACAGAACCACAACAUCUGCAGAAAGCAGAGAUGCAAUUCGGAGGUUCCCAAAAUGGACACUCUCCUCACCACAGCUGCACCAUGAGAACCAGUCCAACACCCACUGGAAACGGGUUUGACUACGUGCCAAGAAUACAGACGAUGCUCUCACUUUGGAUAUACAAGGACAGGCUCAUGGGUCACACGUUCGUAAGCCUUCUUCAAGGUGACUUUUAAAUGCAGAGUGGUUCUCAAAUAAUGGGAGGAAAACUGAACUUUAAAGCACUUUUAAACUUGGUUUUG